AUUAACGCUAGCGGCAGGCCUAAUACAUGCAAGUCGAACGGGAUUUCGGGUAGCAAUAUCUGAAUGAGAGUGGCGCACGGGUGCGUAACGCGUAUGCAAUCUACCUCUGACUGGGGAAUAGCCCUCCGAAAGGAGGAUUAACACCGCAUAACACUAUGAAGGGGCAUCUCUUUAUAGUCAAAACUCUGGUGGUCGGAGAUGAGCAUGCGUCCGAUUAGCUAGUUGGUGAGGUAACGGCUCACCAAGGCAACGAUCGGUAGGGGGUCUGAGAGGAUGAUCCCCCACACUGGUACUGAGACACGGACCAGACUCCUACGGGAGGCAGCAGUAAGGAAUAUUGGACAAUGGGCGCAAGCCUGAUCCAGCCAUGCCGCGUGAAGGAUGACUGCCCUAUGGGUUGUAAACUUCUUUUAGCAGGGAAAAAACCUCUUGACGUGUCAAGAGCUGAUGGUACCUGCAGAAUAAGGAUCGGCUAACUCCGUG
rnacentral:rRNA from 1 species